rnacentral:lncRNA from 1 species
UUUUUUUUUUUGUUUUUAAAAUGCCAAUGUAGAAUGAUUAGACUGGAGACUUAGCAUACAAUUUUAUUUUAUGAUAUAAUGGGACAUAAUUGUGGUCAAUAAGAAGUUUAAAAAUCAUAUAAGAGCACAACUGAAGUAAACCCUCUGAAAUCCAGAGUUUUUAAAAAAUUGUUUUAGCUCAUAAUUCUUAGAAAAUAUUAUUUGAUUUAUAAAACCACAAUAGACACUUAUAUAUUUUUUAUACCUAGGAUCUCAUUGUUUCAAAAAAUAUGUAUUAUAAUUUUGGGGGGUAAUCAGGCAAAAUUGUUUUUUGUGUUCUUAGCUUUGAUUGGGGAUCUUUUCUAAUGCAAAUUCAUUGAACCUCAAUGCUAUUCCAUAAUAAUGAACUUAAAUUUUUCACUUAUCUUCCGUUUUAGAAAUCAAGAUGUGGUUUUGUUUUGGUCUGUAUUGACAGUCCUCACCAUCUUAUAUUUUAGUUAUUAAUAAUACGCUCAAUAUUCUUUUCUUUUUUUAAAAAUAUUUUAUUCAUUUAUAUUCCUGAGAGACACAGAGAGAGAAAGAGGCAGAGACACACGCAGAGGGAGAUGCAAGCUCCAUGAAAGGAGCCCCAUGUAGGAGAUCCCGGGACUCCAGGAUCACACCCUGGGCCAAAAGCAGGCGCCAAACCUCUGAGCCACCCAGGGAUCCCCUAAUAUGCUCAAUUUUCUAUAGAAAAUGUUCAGCCUUUCCAUACUCUAUUCAGCCAAGCACCAUCAUACAGUUACUACCUUUUAUGAUUAAAAUCAGAAUGUUUUUUAUUUGUUAGCUCACUAGUGAUUUUCAAAUAAUUUGUUUUCAAUGUCACUUUUAGAACUAAGGUGAAAAGUUCAUGAUAUACGUGAUAAUGAAUUCAUGACGUUACUUCACAGGUUAUUUGUGGUGACAUACUGACCACACCUUUUACAUACCCCAUUAAAAUUAACUGUUGCAACAUGUCCUAGGUUAAAUUUUGUACAUUUAAUUUUUCUUCAACUUAGAAUUUGAUUAACCUGACUGCACACUUACAACAUUUUAACUACAAUCAUUGUAAUUAAAUAUGCAACCUGAAUAAAACGGUGUACAUAAUAAAAAUUAAAUUGCUGUCUCCUAAAGCCAGUUCAGUGUCCCUGGUGAAAACAUGCAGUCUCUGAUGGCUCCUCACACAACUGCUAGUUUAGGAUUUUCCAUGUUCCUUGGGGGAAGAACUGCCACAUUCCUAAGAACCCCUGAACUUUUCUUGCAGUUUUCUCAGUCCCUCUCCUUCUACUAUGUACAACUUUCAAAAUAUUGGAUAACCCUAGUAACUACACUUCAUCAGUAUUUUCCAACUCUUUGGACUUAAGUUGGCCACAUCACACUUUGCUUAUGUUAAACAAUGCACGUGUACUUUUCUUAAUAAAUCACACACACAAUUUCAUAAUUAAAAAGAGGAAAUUCUCAUAAUCUUAUCAUAAAGAUACACAAUUCUUAUGAAUCAUAUUUAUAGUUUAUAUAAGUUUGUAUUUGGCUUCUCUUCCUAAAAUUUUAACAUCACCAUAAUAUUUCAUCUAAUGGAUACUUUUCUAAUUCAUUCCUUGACUAUUAUUUAGUUUAUCAGUAAAAUGAAUCUGUCAUGGUAAUUUAUGAGGUAAUAAUUGGGUACUACACACAUCUCAAUACCCAAGUUCUAAGAGGUCGCCAAACUCAUUGAAAAGACUGUAUGAGAAGCUCUGGAAGGGGAAGGGAAGUUAGGAGGACUUUUAGGGGUAGAAAGGGGAUGAAGAGAAGGAGUUGCAGAAGUGGUGGGUGGAUAUAAGCUUUGUUCCAUGGCUCUAACUCUCCAUAAUGGCAAGACAUCAAAGGUAGCUAUCUGGGUGCCAAAGAGGCUAGCUUCUGGGCAGAGAGUAUCUCAUUCCUUCUAAAGACAGCCUUGUACAGAGUGUGUCAAGAACGUAGCAGUCCCCUGAACUAAAACUAAGGGACUAGGGGUUAGUCCCCCUAACCCCUGUUAACAGUGUAAAACAAUAGCAGAUAAUUUGAGGGAUGUCCCUGAUUCACAGGUAUUGAGUUAGGGUUCAGAAAUAUGGCACAACUGGGUGAUGUCAGUAAUAACAACUCAGGUUGAAUUCCUGCCUCUGCAGUAGAAAGGUGGUUCAAGAAUAGAAUCAGAUUGCCUUGAGAAAAAGAAGAGAGAUUUAUUACAGAGCUAAAUAUUUGGACUAAGAUUCAAAACCACUAAAUAACCUACUCUGAAAGGAAAGCCUUUUUAUAUAUCACCUUAUCUUUCAGGAUUAUCCCACUGACAAUUUCAUGGUAGUGGAUAUAUGUCAGUGGAUAGGGACAUUUUUCAUGACCCUGGAAAUGCACAACCAGAUUGCCUAUUCAAAAGUGUGACCAGGGACGCCCGGGUAGUUCAGUCAGUUAAGCAUUGGCCUUUGGCUCAAGUCAUGAUAUCAGGGUCCUGGGAUCCAGCCCCAGGUGAAGCUCCCUGCUCAGCAAGGAGUCUGCUUCUCCUUUUCCCUCUGCUCCUCCCCAGAUUUGUGUGCUCUCUCUCUCUCUGUCCCCCAAAUAAAUAAAUAAAAUCUUAAAAUAAAAAAGUAUGACCCAUUAAUACUGCCAUGGUCAUCACAUCUUCGCUGGAUUUAAAUGAUACCAUUAUCGUUUUUUGGCUUAUCUUUUAUGUUUUAGCACAUUGGCAAAAAAAAAAAAAAAAAAAAAAAUAGUGCCU